rnacentral:tRNA from 1 species
GGAGCUAUAGCUCAUUGGUAGAGCACUCGCCUUACGGUGAGAGGUAGCGGGUUCGAAUCCCGUCGGCUCCA